UACGUAGGGAGCAAGCGUUGUUCGGAUUUACUGGGCGUAAAGGGCGCGUAGGCGGCAUAUUAAGUCUCUGUGAAAUCUCCGAGCUUAACUCGGAACUGUCAGCUGAUACUGAUGUGCUAGAGUGCGGAAGGGGCAAUCGGGAAUUCUUGGUGUAGCGGUGAAAUGCGUAGAUAUCAAGAGGAACACCUGAGGUGAAGACGGGUUGCUGGGCCGACACGUGACGCUGGAGUGCGCGAAAGCCAGGGGAGCAAACGGG
rnacentral:rRNA from 1 species